rnacentral:rRNA from 1 species
UACGGAGGGGGCUAGCGUUGCUCGGAAUUACUGGGCGUAAAGCGCACGUAGGCGGAUUGGAAAGUCAGAGGUGAAAUCCCAGGGCUCAACCUUGGAACUGCCUUUGAAACUCCCAGUCUUGAGUUCGAGAGAGGUGAGUGGAAUUCCGAGUGUAGAGGUGAAAUUCGUAGAUAUUCGGAGGAACACCAGUGGCGAAGGCGGCUCACUGGCUCGAUACUGACGCUGAGGUGCGAAAGCGUGGGGGAGCAAACAGG